CAAAUCCCGUUGAAUCACCGAUUCUCGUAUGAUCUCUGAAGUUAAGCAACGUCGAACAUUUUCAGUACCUAGAUGAGUGACCUAUUUGAAAUACCAGGUGCUGUAAG